GCCCCGCUAGCUCAAUCGGAAGAGCAGCCGGCUUUUAACCGGCGGGUACGGAGAUCGAAACUCCGGCGGGGCA
rnacentral:tRNA from 3 species